GCUGCAGACCAGACAGAGGGGUCAUUUAGCUAACAAGCUAGCGCUCGCCGUUAAAGAGCGCAGAAGAAGAAGAAGAAAAGCAUCAGGAGCGGGUCGCCCAGGUGGGGGCUUCACUGACCCGCUGCACGCUGAAAAAUGCGGCGCUUCCCGUCACAUGAUCCCGCACCAUCCUAUCACGCUGUGAUUGCGCUGGGAAAAGGAGGAGAGAGAAAGAAGAAAAAAAAAGAAGCACCGACGGAUGCUGCGACCGACACGUAAUUUAUUUUCUACUGGGAUAAAUCACAUAAAACAUUCAUCGGUGUCCGCGCCGGACUAUUUUUAAGCAUCGUGCGGUGCCACACACGGGACAGUCGUCUCUGCGAAGAACUGAUGGUUUGAUCACACCGUCUUAUUUCUUCUUAACCCACUCUCUUCAUACAGCUGUCAACAAUGAGGCUCAGGAGGCAACACAAACACCACAAGGCACCACGUAUUUACUUAUAGCUUUAUUGCAAAACAAACAAACAAUAACAAAGACAUGACAGGAGCAUGUGGCUAAAUGUUUAGUUCAAAAGCCUGUCAUCAUCAUCCCCCCCCAUCUCUUCUGGGAGAUCGAUAAGUGAUUAUAACAUGUAGGAAAAUGUAGGGUAGAAGAAGUAAAAGAAAGAUAAUCAAAUUAAGUUACGUAACUGGGCAGUCAGACUUUACACUAAAUCAUUCAGGACUGAGGAGAUUUUAUUUAUUGUGUGUUGGCGACAGAUAAGGACUGUAUUAAAUGUCGGUCAUGCAGCAAUCUUUUCGUAUAUUAAAGUAAUCCUGCAUUCGUCGGCAAUUGUUCGUUUUUCGUUUCUAGUAAAUGUCUGGAGUCCCCCA